rnacentral:rRNA from 1 species
AUGGAGAAGGAGGACGUUGACUGGACACAGGUGUUUGAUCGGGUCAAAGGUUCAAUCUUUUCCAUCCUGUUUGCUCCAAAACAAGACCAGCUUGAAGAACUCAAAAUCCUGGCUGAUGAGGUCAAGACAGUAAAAGAUAAAGAAUCGCGUUACGACAAGGUCAGGAAUGGACAUUCUUCUACUGGUUCCGCCUACUAUUCUAGACCAACCGGACUGCUAAUCAUGACAAGUGCACAUGGAUUGAGCCAUCUUUUCAAUGCGUCUCGGCCUUUGACACGAGAGACAUUGGAUAUGAUGGACAUUACUGUCUUGUGUGAUCACCAGGAAGAAACUAUUCAGGAAGCUAGGUUGGUUAGUGCUGUUAGGAAGUAUGGCACUGCAACGGUAGCUGGGGUUGAUUCAAUUGAAGAUACAAUUGUUCCGAGUGUUGAGAACAGCAGCCUCAAGAAUUACUCAGACGAUGGCGUAUGCGCCCAAGCACACCCUGCCCUUGAGAUCUCUGUCAACACUCCAAUAAAUGACAGGCAGUGCACGAUGGUGUCUUGGCCGUCCUGUAUGCCUAGGAUGAUCUCUAUAGGUACAACUGUUUCUUCAAGGGGGAUUGACAUGCCCGAUCCUUUGGGGUACAACAUGAAUGUAUUGGAAGUCGACAUGAGAACUGCUGAGAGCUCAUCCGGGGCGCCACUGUUCAACUCAAAUGGUGAGGUCAUUGGUAUUCUGCAAGGGAGACUGACUCGGACCCGCUCGAUCUUCGUGUCGGGGUCGCAUCUGCAUGGAUGGGUCCAAGCAGCUCAUGGCGCAUGA